GACGCACGCUGGCGGCGUGCUUAACACAUGCAAGUCGAACGCAGUGGCGAACGGGUGAGUAAUACGUGGGCAACCUUCCCUCCUUUCUGGGUCAAGACUUGGAAACGGGGUUUAACACCGAAUACAGGGGGAUGGGCUCGCGGUCUAUCAGCUUGUUGGUGAGGUGAUGGCCUACCAAGUCAGUGACGGGUAGCCGGCCUGAGAGGGUGACCGGCCACAGUGGGACUGGGAUACGGCCCAGACUCCUACGGGGGAGAGCGGGGGGGGAGAUUGCGCAAUGGGCGAAAGCCGGAUGCAGCGACGCCGAGUGGGGGAGGAAGGCUGUCGGGUUGUAAACCUGUUUCGCUACCGAACGGGUAGUUGGAGAAGAAGCGACGGCUAACUACGUGCCAGCCGCCGCGGUAAUUC
rnacentral:rRNA from 1 species